UACGUAGGGUGCAAGCGUUAAUCGGAAUUACUGGGCGUAAAGCGUGCGCAGGCGGCUUUGCAAGACAGAUGUGAAAUCCCCGGGCUCAACCUGGGAACUGCAUUUGUGACUGCAUGGCUAGAGUACGGUAGAGGGGGAUGGAAUUCCGCGUGUAGCAGUGAAAUGCGUAGAUAUGCGGAGGAACACCGAUGGCGAAGGCAAUCCCCUGGACCUGUACUGACGCUCAUGCACGAAAGCGUGGGGAGCAAACAGG
rnacentral:rRNA from 3 species